rnacentral:RNase_P_RNA from 1 species
UUUUGGGGCCUGAUUGUCGCUCCAAGUGUGUAGUUUCUUUGAAAAAACGCCGACGGAGAGGAAAGUCCGGACACCGCAGGGCAGGAUGCCGUGCGAGAGUUGCGCCUGGCGCACUCAAGCACGGGAGGCGCGCGUCAAGGCGCGUCGACGGACAGUGUCACAGAAAACAAACCGCCCGUGCGGCGUGGUUCUCGUGAAUCGCGCGGUGCGGGUAAGGGUGAAAAGGUGGGGUAAGAGCCCACCGCGCCACGCGCGAGCGUUUGGCGGCACGAAAAACCCCAUCCGGUGCAAGGCAAAAUAGGAGACUGGGCGGCCCGCCCCACAGUCUCGGGUAUGCCGCAGCGUGUUGCGCUUCGCGGGCUUGGGGCCUGCGGGCCGCGAGUCCGAGGGAGCGCGCAGGCCAGGGCGAGAGCAGGGCCGCGCUUCUCGUCCUGAGAUAAAUGACAGUCGAAGUGCCGCGCGGUGGCUUAGCCGCCUCGCGGCGCGGAACAGAAUCCGGCUUACCGGCCCCAAAACCAG